CGGGGGUACACGAGCGGCGGACGGCUGAGUAACACGUAGGAACGUACCCCAAAGUGAGGGAUAAGCAUCGGAAACGAUGUCUAAUACCGCAUGUGAUCUUCGGAUUAAAGCUUCGGCGCUUUGGGAACGGCCUGCGCAUGAUUAGAUUGUUGGUGAGGUAAUGGCUCACCAAGUCGACGAUCAUUAGCUGGUCUGAGAGGAUGAUCAGCCAGACUGGGACUGAGAACGGCCCAGACUCCUACGGGAGGCAGCAGUAGGGAAUUUUCCACAAUGGACGAAAGUCUGAUGGAGCAACGCCGCGUGCAGGAUGAAUGCCUUCGGGUUGUAAACUGCUUUUAUAUGUGACGAUUUUGACGGUAGCAUAUGAAUAAGGAUCGGCUAACUCCGUGCCAGCAGCCGCGGUCAUACGGAGGAUCCAAGCGUUAUCCGGAAUUACUGGGCGUAAAGAGUUGCGUAGGUGGCACUGUAAGUUGGUAGUGAAAGCGUUCGGCUCAACCGAAUAUCCAUUACCAAAACUGCAGAGCUAGAGGACAAGAGAGGCAUCUGGAAUUCCUAGUGUAGGAGUGAAAUCCGUAGAUAUUAGGAGGAACACCGAUGGCGUAGCAGGGUGCUGGCUUGUUCCUGACACUAAAGCACGAAAGCGUGGGGAGCGAACGGGAUUAGAUACCCCGGUAGUCCACGCCGUAAACGAUGGAUACUAGCUGUAUUCGUAUCGACCCCGGAUGUAGCGAAGCUAACGCGUAAGUAUCCCGCCUGUGGAGUACGGUCGCAGACUAAAAAU
rnacentral:rRNA from 1 species